GACGAACCGUGCGACCGUUAUUCGGAAUCAUUGGGCUUAAAGCGCGUGUAGGCGGAUUCGUGCGUCUGUCGUUGAAAUCCCCCGGCUCAACCGGGGAAGUGGCGCGGAUACGACGAGUCUGGAGGGGCAUAGGGGGACCUGGAACUUCCGGUGGAGCGGUGAAAUGCGUUGAGAUCGGAAGGAACGCCCGUGGCGAAAGCGAGGUCCUGGAUGCCUACUGACGCUGAGACGCGAAAGCCAGGGGAGCGAACGGG
rnacentral:rRNA from 1 species